CAAAUACCCACCCUUUGCUUCGACGUGGAUGGAACUGGAGGGUAUUAUGCUGAGUGAACUUUCUGAUAAAAACUUUUGAACUGCCAGUGGAAAACAUUUUUGCCUACAGAAUGAAACAACAGAUUUCUUCCUCUUGGAUUCAAGAUCCUGCGAAAUCUGCACAAUUUUCAACUCCUCUAUCCAAAUUGACACCUACCCUCUGCCAGAUGGAGCUGUCAAGGCCCAGAGAAGUUAAUUGACUUGUCUAAAGCUGUGGAACCAGCACAUAGACAGCCAGGAUUUUAAUGGAGCCAGUCGAGCUCUACUGCCUGGCCUCUGACCAGAGUGGUAUAUGCUAUCUUCUACAAUUUCAGAAUCUGUUCCUGCUUGUGUGUGAUUGAUGCUACUCCUCUAGGCAAGGAUACUCUCUUCCUAGCUCUAUUUCUGCUUGUCCAAGUCCUCAAGGCCCAGCUGGGGUAGCCUGCCAUUCCCACCUCUUGCCAGCCUCAUCCUUAGUGGGUGACCCCAUCUGUGAAUUCUCAAAACAAUCCUGUGAUGUCACCUACUACCACAUAGUGGCACAUGUGAUAUUGUCUACGUGUUCUGUUCUUGCAACUAGACUUCUAACUAUAAUAAGGCAGAUGUGGUGGCUUAUUUCUCUGGGCCCUUAAGAAAGACUUAGCUCAUACAGUAGGUACUUAGGGUUGAAUAUUGUAGGGAUUGGUCAUAGAGCACUUUGUGGAAUCCUGUAUCCAGAUAUUAUUGGCUUUAGUAUGUUUAAAUUUAAGACACGCCAUAUAAAAACUUGUGAAUAAGGACAGAGAAAUUCACUCAGCAAAUGCUUACUGAGCAUCUGCUGUGCACCAGGCUUUGUUCUAGUCCCUGGGAUGCAUCAAUGAACAAAUGAGACUCAGUCAGAUGAGGCCAGGUGAUGUGAUAACAAAUGAUCACCAAGUCAUAGUAGCUUAAGAUGAAAGGUUUCUUUUCUUUCUUUUCUUUUCUUUCUUUCUUUCUUUCUUUAAAACUUUUUAAUUGGGUGUGUGUGUGUGUAUAUAUAUAUAUAUAUAAAAUUUACCAUUUAGUCAUUUUAUAUUUAAUUGUGCAGUCCAGUAGCACUAAGUACAUACACGUUGUGUAACCAUCACUAUUCAUCUCUAGAACUUUUUCAUCAUUCCACACUGAAACUGUAUCCAUUAAAAAGUAGCUCUCUAUUCCCCCCUCUCAUGUUUGCAAAUCUUUUUAAAAUUUAAAUUAAAUUAAUUAACAUAUAAUUGGUAUCAGAGGUAGAGGUCAGCACUGGGUAUUAUAAGGUAGAUGAAUCACUGACCUCUACCUUUAAAAAGUUUAUUUCUUCAUUAUGUUUUCUUGGUGGCCAGGGAGAUUUUGCUCAACUCACUCACUCAGGGACCCAGCCCAAUGGAGCAACCUCCAUUUUGAAAGAUGUCAGGAGGAGGGAAUGUGGUAGAGAGUAUGCUGCCCGUGAAAGGCUCCAACCAGACAUGGCACACAUCCUUUCUGCUCUUCUGUUGGCCAAAAAAAGCCACACAGCCUUUUCUGUAUCCAAGUAGUCAGGAAAAUAGCCUCCUACAGUGGACUUGGAAAGAGAGCCAGAUGUCAGUGGAUGGCUGUCACGGUGACACACAAAGAUUUCUGCCUUUUGGAACUUACUCUACACUCUAGAGGGGGAUGCAGACAAUGAGUUAUAGACACAAUAGGUAAGUAAACCAUAGAAUAUGUUAGAAGAUGAUAAGUGCAGGCUCCUGGGUGGCCCCAGGUUAAGUAGCUGCCUUAGGCUCAGAUCAUGAUCCCGGGGUCCUGGGAUUGAGCUCCUUAGUGAGCUCUCAGCAGGGAGCCUGCUUCUCUCUGCCCCUCCUCCAGCUCGUGCUCUCUCUCAUUGGCUUGCUCUCUCACUCUCUCAAAUAAAUAAAUAAAAAACCUUUUAAAAGAAAGAAGAUGAUAAGCGAUAUGGAGUAAGAACAGGUAGAGGGGGCAAAGGAGCUGUAGUAGAGAUGGCGGCAAACUGCAUGCAGUGCAUACUCGGGUGUCCAUCAGGGCAGUACCAUUGAACAAGGACUUGAUAGAGGGGAAGCAGUUAGUUAGGGCUAUCCAGAAAAGAGGGUUCCGGAUGGAGGGAGUAGCAGGGAGCCCACAAUGACAACGUCUCUGUAUCUGAAGAACAGCAAUGAAGCUGGUAUGGCUGGGGCAGAUGGGGAUGGGCAGGCGCCUAAAUGCUGAGGCCAGGGCACAUGGGGCCUUGGGAGCCACUGUAGAGAUCCUGGCUUUUAUGCUGAAUGACACAGGGAGCCAUGGCAGGGUUUUGAGCAGGAAAGUAACAUACUGCAUUUAACUUCAAGAAGGAUCUGCAUUAAGAAGGAACACUUGGAGGGUGAGCGGCUGGUGCAGUAAUCUAGGUGAGAGCUGAAGGCAGUUCACAAGGGCCGAUGGCACUUCUCCUUGCCGAUCUCUGAUCACAGAUUCCCUUUUGGGUGUGUGCACGUUUUAAAAUGCGGUUUUAGUUUCAAAUGCUGCACAGCACUGAGAUGAAACACGGUUUCUUCCCACGGCCCCCACGAUGGCCUCUGCCUUCCCCUAGCCUCCACCUCUGACACCUGGUUCACUAACUUCCACCAUGCUGGCCCCCUUUCCAUCACUUGAUGACCUUCGAGUUCUUUCCAGCCUCGCUGACAUGCCCUUCACCCAGGGCACCCUUCUCCUGUUCAGUUCAAAUGUCUCAUGGGAGGGAGGAUUUCCCUGACCAGGUAGCUUAAGGGAGGACUUGAUUGUCCUCGGUCCCAUCCCUCUGUGCACUUCUUUCAGGGUUCCCUCUACAGUCUGCAGUCCCAACAAUCCAUUUUAUCACAAUUUAACUCCUGGUUAAUUGCUUCUCACUACUUGAAUGUAAGUUUCAGUGACCAAACAGCUGGGACUGGGUCUGUCUUGUUCUUUUUUGUUUAAUUUUUAAAUAUUUAUUUAUUUAUUCACAGAGAAAGAGGGGGAUGGGGGCGAGAGAGAGAGAGAGAGAGAGAACAAGCAGGGGAGCAGCAGAGGGAGAGGGAGAAGUAGGCUUCCCACCAAGCAGGGAGCCUGAUGUGGGGCUCGACCCCAAGAUCACAACCCAAGCCGAAGACAGAUGAUUUACCGACUGAGCCACCCAGAUGCCCCUGGUCUGUCUUGUUGUAAGUGGAAUUCCCAGCAUCUUCAAUAGCACCUGGCAGCAUGAGGCACCUGAGUAGGGUGUGCAUGAAGAAAUGAAUGAAUGAAGAGUCCCAAAUGGUAAGCUGGAAUCAGUGAGGCAAAGACAUAGGUGAGUGGAUAAAAGGUCCUAGGGGAAUUUAAAGAGAUUUUCAAGUAUCUUAAAAAAUUCUAGGAGGUGAUGCUUUAGAUGGUGAAGUGUUUUUUCAAACUCCAGACCGGAUGCCAUCACUCUGAGCAUGCUGGGCGCUUACCAUAGUCUGUUUUUAUGAUCUGCUUUUGUAUCUGUUUCCUCUACCAGGGGCUACAUAUUAUUCUUCCUUUUAUCCUGGUGCCUAAGUGCUUGACAAAUACUUUUUGUACCAAACUGUACUGACUACUCAUGUCUUCUUACUCUGUCAUGCUGAGCCCUCUAAUUAGAUCCUUAUUAAAAAUAAAAUCUUAUCAUGAAUCUUGUAGGGCCUUUGUGGAAAGAAACUUUGCAUGCAUGCCAUGAUCUUUCAGACACAUUGAGAUGGUUCUAAUCAAGCCACCAUCUGGGCCACAUGUUUUAUUAGCUCAAUUAUGUUGUGUUCCAUCAAUUUGUGUCAAUAUUACAAAAUGUGAAGUAUAAGAUUUGAGCUAUGAUCUAUGACAUAGAUCUCCCUGCGAUGUCUAUUUCCCUCUUGAAGUUUUAAAGCCCAAUACAUUUUGAAAUGAAAGAAAUCUGGGACUAAUUAAAUGAAAAUCAGGGCUAGAGAUAGAUGGUGGACACUGGUAGGCAUUCGAGCAGGCACAGUAAAGUUCUCUAACCAGGUGGAGAUGUAACUGAGACACAGAGGUCAAUGUUGCAUUUCUGACUUUCUCCAGUGUCUAUGUGGGACACUGAUGGGCUACUUAAAAGAGAGCAAACAUUUAGAUAAGAGAGGCCUGAGGAAUGUAGGGGGAAAAGAAAGGUAGGAGGACACCAAAUGUGAAAUAUGUUUUCUGAAUCUUAAAACUCCCUUGAGUUGGGUUUCCUCUGAAAACCUAGAUGUGAUUUUAGUCUUAGCUUAAAAAAUGAGUUUCCUUGUAUCUGUGAUGCUUGGCAGCUUUCAAACACUUCUACAAUCCACACUGUCAUCUGAUCCUCCCAACAACUCAUCAGUAGGCAGAGUGGGUAUGAUUAUUUACAUUUUAUGAAAGAAGAAAGAAAGGCCCUGAGCUUAGGGCAACUUGCUCCAGGCCAUAGGGCUGUUAAGCAGCAGAGAUGCCAACAAGAAUCGUUUGAUAAGAUACCAACUAUGUCCUGUCAAUUCUGCCACACAAAUCUACCAUUUUAUAGGUGCAAGUGAGGACUGGCUCCCAGGAGAAGCUAGCAAGGGGUGGGGAAGCAGGGUGCAGAAGAAUGAGCCAAACAACGGUGGUUUCAGAAGUGCCAGACUCAGCUUGAUUUUUGAGGGUGGGAUGCUGUAGGGCAUAAAUUACAUCUCAGGAUUUAUUCCACCUCCAGGAAAAGCAGCCCUUGUUGGCCAGUCAACAAGGGCUGCCCCCCACCACCUAGGAAGAGCACCCCCUGUACUCUGAGGCAAUCUUCUAAAGGGUGUCAAGCAUACUUGAAGGGACUCCAAUUGUAUGCCCCAAAUCUACACUAAUCAGGAGGAUUACAUGAGCUACUGCACAUGGGAUAAGUGAAAGCAACUUGGAAUUUUUCAAAUACUAUUUGAAUAUAAGAAAUUAUUUUAUUCUGAUGCAUUCUUAGGGCAGACUGACUCAUCUGAGCACCUUCUUUGAAAUCAGAACCAGACAGAGCUGCAGGAAUCUGACUCUCUUCCUAGGGAAUCUGGUUCAGAGACAUUCAUUUAGAGAAAGGGGGCAUGUUCAAAGAUGGUUGUUAUUCUGGGGCACCUGGGUGGCUCAGUGGUUGAGCAUCUUCCUUUGGUUCUCCUGGGAUCCUGGGAUUGAGUCCCACAUCAGGCUCCCUGCUUCGCCCUCUGUCUAUGUCUGCCUCUCUGUGUCUCUCAUGAAUAAAUAAAUAAAAAUCUUUAAAAAAAAAAGAAUCGUUUCAUUAAAUGUAUGGGAAUUAAUUCUAUCAACUCAUUCUGUUCAGACAAAAAGUGAAGCACAGAGGACAAGUGAUGGUGACUCAAAUCAUGUAAGUGGUAAACGGCAGGCCUUGGAUGGGAAUCAGAUCUCCUGAUGACUUCUCUGGAGUCCUUUCCAGGAACCUCCAUACCAACAGUAGGAAGGAACUUUGCUCUUUAGCUGGUAGGGAUGAGAUGAGGAUCAGGAGGGCAGGGGCCAGGUGAGGGUUCUUGGAUAGUCAGCAGUCCUAGAGCUUGCCCAGACCCAGAGAGAAGAUUAAGUCUUUUGCAUAUUUUUGAAGGCCUUCUCUAUCAUGUGCAGACUCUUAUAGGACAAGAAGAAAAGUACCCUAGCAAGUGCUUACGCAUAGCUGCCUGAGUUUACAGGCUGUAUCCACCCCUCCCCAGCCACCUCAACUUAAGAGGAAUGGUCUUAUUUGAAGGGAAGAGUGAGAGGGAAACAAGGGAUGGGGAGCCUCAGGUGCCACAGAGUAUGUUCUCCAGGCCCUUAUCAUGUCUACAGGGCUGGAAUGGGCUGGAAGAAACCUGUGUAAAGUCGCAGAAUUGUCUUAUGAGAAGUCCGACACACACACUCCAUUCUAUUUUCUUAAGUUUCUAAGGAAGGUGCACAUCUCUAAAGAAAAUACGUUACUUAUAAUACAUAAAACCAUUUAAUUUGUACUGGUGUUAAAAAAAGAAGUUUAAAUGAAACCCAUAUGGAAGCUGUCUAAAUGCUUGGGUUAGAAAGAAGAUUGGGUCAAAUACAAUAGCGAGUCCUAAAGCAAUAGCCUGCUACAGGGAGUCCAAAUCUAUCCACAUUUAGUCUAAAUGUAGAGUGACCUUUCACUACCAAGCCUUGAGCUUAAAGUCGGCUACAGUUAUUGGAAAUCAUUUCCAAAGGUCAUUUGUAAAAAAAAAAAAGUAUAUGGAUUUAAAGAUGCCUUCCAUACAUGUAGAAAGCCAAAUCUGCAAUGCUAGUGAAAAAUAAUAUGGGGAAAUAAAAAAAAAUAAUAUGGGGAAAUCACUGUUGCAGUGAUGAGUUUUGAAAACAACCUAAAAAGGUCAAGGUCACACAGAUAGUAAUUUCGUUUUCUUUACUUAUACAUCAGUAGACUUGUUCCUGUGUGUGUUGCUGAGCUAUUUACCACCACCCACAUGGAUCGCAGAAAAAGAAUAUGCGAUAUUAUCUAGGAGGGAGUUACUAAGAACCAUUUGCUUUCACUAGAUCAGGGCUAAUAUUACACUGAAACCAUGCAGAGAACAUUCCAGUGAGCCAAAAGCUUGACUCUAAUUCCAAGUGGUGACAUUUAUAUGCAGGAUGUCCAACAUGUCAUUAGAAAUUUUUCAAAGGGCAUAUAUAGCUGAAGUCGCUAGGGCAUGAUUACAUGUGCCACCUUAAUAAGUUUUAAAAAAAUUUCAGUAGCUCAGCGUGAGUGCUGAAAUGCUUUCCCAGUUCAUCAGUGAAUGCUAAAUGAGCCCCCUUUUUAGAUGCAGGCAGGAGAGCAGGUGUGUGCAUAUGUAAGAAAUAGAUAUGCUCUGAUGAUUCUCAAGGACAGUCUUUUCUCCUAUCCUUCCCCCACCCUGCCCUCAGUAUAAAAUGAUGUUUAAUGUGGAAUAUCAAUUUGUUUUUCUUGGAGUAAAACACAAAUUAAUAACAAACUAUUCUGCUUUAUUUAACUGGGAAUCUCUUUGUCUCAAUGUUUUACUUUUCAUUCUUUCUAACUGACCCCUCCU